rnacentral:sRNA from 1 species
UCUAAAUUGAGAAAAAUGCUUCCACCAGAACCAGACUGGCCUCUGGGUGAGCUUUUGGUGCAUUUUCUUAAUUGCCGAAUGAUACGGGAGAGCCUAGAUCACUGUGGGGAGUGCCACCCCUGGGCUGUUAGUCCUGGGUGUUAUAAGAAAGAAGGAUGAACAAGGCAAGAGGAACAAGCCACUCUCUCGUGGCCUCUGCCUCAGUUCCUGCCUCCAGGUUCCUGCCGUGCCCGAGUCUUGUGCUGAUUUCCCUCACUGAUGGACUGUUAACUAAAAAUGUAAGGUUAAAUAAACCAUCUCCCCGCUAAGUUCUGUUUGGCAUGGCGUUUUGUCGCGACAGUUGAAACCUAACAAAGACACACACUAACAGGCGGCCUAAGCUAACAGAGACGUGGUCUGUCAAUGCAUUCGUCUCUCCUGACAAACCACUGUGUAAUAAGAUGCAGUUGACAGCGGGCUAACAGAGGGACAUCGUCAGUAGGUCCAUGAGAAUGGAGCCUGGGCCUGGGAUCCAUCACUUGGGAUUCCAGUGUCCAGACAGAACUGAAUGGUAUCCAAGCCCAACUUCGCCUUCCAGCGUACUGAGUACACUGAGACAAGUUACUCAGAUCUCCCCGCGCCUCCAUUUCCUCCCCUGUGAAAUGAGAAUGCUCACACAUGCCACUUGGACCCGUGAGCAUUACAUGAGAUGAUGUGUGAAAACUGCCAGGCACCUAAUAGAUUUUCCAUCAUUUCCUCCCCUCUCUCCUCGCCUGCGUGCAAAACCACUUCAUUUCUAAUGAAACGGGAGGAAAACCAAAGCCCUAAAUAAAUAAGCUCUCCCAAGAAACAGAGAUAAACUCACGAAGCCACGUUCAUGCCAUCCGCGGGAAUGUCACCUCAUGUGCUCAUGUGCUUCUGGGCAAGACAGCACCUGCCUUACAGGGUUAUUGUAACGAAUGAAUGAGCUGAGCAGAGCGGUCUGAACAGUGCCUGCGACACUCGGGACAGGCCACAAGUGCUAUUGCUGUCACUCGUGCCGGUCAGCCUGUGGAACUCCUCAGUCCUGAGCAUUCUAUAGAAUUACAGCACAAGUGUGAGAGAAAUCAGAGAGCCUCGGACAGAGUCAGCCCCAGGAAACUGGCUCCACGACUAAGGGAGGGCACCCUCGACUGGAGUCUAGGCCACUUCUUUCUCUCACCACCUUUCAUGCAUCCAUCUUAUCCCCCGAUUACCCUAGAAGUUCUCCAAGGACAAUGACCAUAUGCUGUCCCAACUGGGAGGCCUGGUUGUACAUAUCCCCACGACUGGGUACAUCUAAAGCGAGGGCUUCAUAGAUACCUGGGUUCUGCAUGGACAGAAGAGUUUGUGCCAUGGCUAAGAUUUAGCAAAGGAUAUGCUGGGGUCAGGUCAGGCUCUGAUAAUCUCCAUGGAUACCAAUGAGUCGUCAGGGGCAGUUAGCAUCAGUGCCAGAAAAGGCCCCUUGCGCUGCCUCAAAUGGAGUCCCUGACCCAGAUUAGCCAUCUGUGGUCACAGACACAUUCUGCUGGUCCAAACAGGACAAGGAUGGGACAUGACUACUCACAAUGAGCAGGCUUAGUGUCCCUCCCAGACCCCUUCGUCUCAUUGAAAACACACAGCCAGUCCACAAGGCCAGGUUGGGAACCUCCCUGUUACAGAGGAGGCAACUAAGGGGAGAGGGUGUCGGUAGCUGACCCACAUCCACAGAGCAGUGGGGGACAGGGUGACAGGGUCAUAGGUCACACCCUGACCACUCACUUCUGGUGCAUCGCUAUCCGCCUGCCACAGGCUGAGAAAUUGCCUCCAGACACCUACAUCUCCACGGACCGAGCAACCCCUCAGGCUUCUUGCUUUGUGGCCUGCAAACCAUUUAGAUCAUAACUCAUCGGAAGAAUGUCUGCUGCUGGUUUUCGAAUUUGCCGUUUGGGAAAGCAGGAGGGGAGAAGUGGGUGACCUCCUCAGAAAGAGCUACACAUCCCGCUCUGCCUCAUCUCCCCUCUAGCCAAGGCUCGAAUGCUAGUACCACGGUCACUAGGUAGCGGGCCUAAUGGGUUUCCUUUCACACACCUUUCAGAGAUACCCAAGCACAUUUCUAAAAUGUUCUUCAUCUCCCAAAGCCUGUGCUCAGCUGCCCCUGGGCCUACAGCAGAAGACAAACAUCUGCUGGACUUUUCCCAGCAGUGUGACAAUGACAUCAUGCACUGCUCUUAGAUAAUUUGCACAUUAUCAGACUAAUUUCCAGAUUAUCUAAUCAGCAGACAUUACCCUUAAUCAAUUUGGCUCUCCCCUUACAGUUCUACAAAGUACACCCUGCCCUCAGCAGCACACUGGCUCUGGGCACUUUCCUCUUAAGAAUGACAAAGAGGAAAGCUUAACUCAGAACCAGCAUGUGAGCACCGCACAGGAGUCUGACUUUCAGGGACCUAGGACCUCCCAACCUCAACUACACGGUCCUGAAAAACAGACGAGAUACAUUUUAUAGAACAGUAUUUUAAAAAAAUCCCUCUUAAGAACUCCAAGUUUAGUCUGAAAGCAUAUAUUUAUUUAUGCUAUUAAAUAAAAUUAAAAAAAUAAAAAUGAAUCCUCUCUUCGAGGAAUGGCUGUGAGAGUUCCCACAGAAUAAAAACUGCAAGGUGAAGGUGCCUCCAAUUGUGGCAUCCUGCCUCACUCGGCCCUGACUUCAAUACUCCCAUGAGACCUGACUGCUACUGAUGUACGAAUUUGCCAUGACAUCACGGGCCUCUUUCCUUUCAUCUGUAUGCAUUCAUUUUGAAACCAGGGAGGUCGUCUCCCUCCUCAAUACUCUGCCUUGCUUUUCAAGGUCUGAACAGAACCUCCUCAGCGAACCAUUUCAAAACCUCACAGGGCUUUAGCACAAACCAGAAUACCCUUCAUGUGGCUCCUACCCUUGGACUCUCUGCUGUGGAGCCUGAGAAGUUCCACGUCCAGUAUGUCAACAAGCAAGGUCAGCUUCCCAGCAAGAGCAGUCCUGCCUCAAGACGUGGAGUACACCCAGUGACUCUGAGCCUUAGGCAAGCGCAUCCUUCAUUCGGGACCCACGGAGCACUCCCAUCUGAGACUGUGAGCGCUUCAAGGGACACCUAAGGAAGACACAGAUACCUAAUGAUAAGCUUGCAUUCAAGAUUCUGAUUGGAAGGACAAAGAAUGUCAGUGCUGGUCACAGAAGCCUACCCGGAGGAGACCUCAGGAACAGCCAAGAAGGGGACUGCCUCCUUCCACUUACUGUUGCUGCCAAGGUGUACAUGUGUACAUACAUACAUGCAUGUGUGUGCCAGACACCGCUGGCUGUGGGCACUGUAGGGGAACUGGGCAAACACGACUCAAAGGAAAAACCAUUUGAACAUUAUAAAAUGGGAUACCUGAACACAGGAGCAAGUGGCCAGGCAUUGAAGAAAUGCAAGAGACAGGCUAGCGCUGCAGGAAUGAGCAAGAAAGCUGAGAGGAGCUUUGGAGAGAAGAUGAGUCAUUAAUCUCUGCUUUCCAGAUAACACCUAAAACCAAAGAUCAUUUCCAGCCUCUUCCUGGUAGGAGGCAACAGCUCUUCACGACUUCCUAGACACUUAGACCAGACAGGAAGGGGAAGGGCACUGCCAGCCGCCUCAGUACAGAUAGGCUUUCUUCCCUGACAGAGAAGGAAAACUCUCCCAAAGUGCAGGCAGCGAGCUGGGUGUCAUGGAGACUCAGAUCUGGUGCAGAAAGAGCGAAGCCAUCCUCCUCCUCCAGCCCUGCUUCCCAGAUUCUGCCCAGAUGGCAACAGGAGGUGAGAAAGCAAGGGUCUGUCACAUUAAAAGCUUGAACCCUCAAAGUUGGAAACAAAUUAAUGUCACGGGAUGUGUUUUCCCCAACUCCAAAUUUCUCUACUGCAGCUUAACCUCUAGUACUUUGGCAUUUGGUUCUAAUGGAGGGAGAGAGAGAGAGGUAAAGAAAGUAAUUAAAGUGCCGGAGAGAUGGCUCAGUGGUUAAGGGAGUGCACCGGCCUUAUCCAGUCUCCAGAGCUUACAUAGGGUGACUGGCAGCCACCUGUAACUCCAGAUUCAGAGAUCUGACGCCCUCUUCUGGUCUCCACAUGCACUCCACUCAUGUGCACAUCCCCCACCCCCCUCCCCUUUCACAUAAUUCACAGUGAAAAGAAAUCUUCUUUUAAAAAUAAACAAAGUAAAGGUAAAAUGAGGCCAUUGGAGCUGAGGAGACAGCUAGGCUGGUAAAGCAGACAUGACAACUGAGUGUAGACACCCCCAGAACCUAUGGGGAAAGAUGGCAACAGCUACACAUGCCCAUAUUCCCAGAGCUCAGAGACCGGUGACCUCUGGAGCUCUCCAUAGCCAGGCUCACCGAAUCAGUGACAUGCACAUUCAGUGAGAGACUCAGUCUCAAAAAUAAAGUGAAAAGCAACUGAGAGCCCUUGAAAGUGUGACAGAAAGACAUUCAGACAGACAGACAGAGGCAUACACACAGAGAGGGGCGGAGGGAAAGGGGAGAGGGAGAGAAGGAGAGAGGAAAGGAGAGAGGGAGGGAGGGGGAGAAGGAGAGGGAGAGGGAGAGGGAGAGGGAGAGAAAGCGCACAGCUAUUAGGGUGAGUCUUAUCCAGUCUGCCCGGUAACCUUAUAAGAGGUUACAUGG